CCAAACAUAAGCUCACCUCUGAACACUCAAGCUGCUGCUCUUUGGUGCAAUCAAGAAGAAUACAGGAAGAUGGUUGAGAAGCUAUACAAGCCUAGUGUGUAGUUAGGUGUUAGUGUAGAAUUUUUGUUCUUUUUUCAUAUGGAUGGAACAAAUGUAGUUGGAAUUGUUUUAGUCAGACUACUUUAGUCACUUCCAGCUUAGGUUUCCAUCAAGCAGGUCAGAUCAUUCCUACUAUCAUGUGGUAUUUGUUGACUGUUGGAAUGUCUCCUCCUUCUGAUUUGAGCAACACCAGCAUGUAGAUACCAUGUUAUAUCUCAUCCUCUUUAGUGCAUCAUCUGGUGGUAGUUUGUACUUCCAAAAUCUUCACA